rnacentral:rRNA from 1 species
UACGAAGGGGGCUAGCGUUGCUCGGAAUUACUGGGCGUAAAGGGCGCGUAGGCGGACGGUUUAGUCAGAGGUGAAAGCCCAGGGCUCAACCUUGGAAUUGCCUUUGAUACUGGCUGUCUUGAGUUCGGGAGAGGUGAGUGGAAUGCCGAGUGUAGAGGUGAAAUUCGUAGAUAUUCGGCGGAACACCAGUGGCGAAGGCGACUCACUGGCCCGAUACUGACGCUGAGGCGCGAAAGCGUGGGGAGCAAACAGG